rnacentral:pre_miRNA from 1 species
AACCCGUAGAUCCGAUCUUGUGGUGAAGUGGACCGCACAAGCUCGUUUCUAUGGGUCUG